rnacentral:rRNA from 1 species
ACUCAAAUGAAUUGACGGGGACCCGCACAAGCAGCGGAGCGUGUGGUUUAAUUCGAAGCAACGCGAAGAACCUUACCAGGGUUUGACAUGCUAUCGCACCACCCCCAAAAGGGUGUCCCUUCGGGGCGGUAGCACAGGUGCUGCAUGGCUGUCGUCAGCUCGUGUCGUGAGAUGUUGGGUUAAGUCCCGCAACGAGCGCAACCCCCAUUCUCGGUUACUGGUGUCCGAGGAGACUGCCGCGAUCAACGUGGAGGAAGGCGGGGAUGACGUCAAGUCAGCACGGCCCUUACAUCCUGGGCGACACACACGCUACAAUGGCCGGUACAAUGGGUCGCCAACCCGCGAGGGGGAGCCAAUCCUACAAAACCGGUCUCAGUUCAGAUUGGAGGCUGCAACCCGCCUCCAUGAAGUUGGAGUUGCUAGUAACCGUAGGUCAGCACACUACGGUGAAUACGUUCCCGGGUCUUGCACACACCGCCCGU